rnacentral:rRNA from 1 species
UACGGAGGAUUCGAGCGUUAUCCGGAUUUAUUGGGUUUAAAGGGUGCGUAGGCGGACUGGUAAGUCAGCUGUGAAAGUUUACGGCUCAACCGUGAAAUUGCAGUUGAUACUGUUGGUCUUGAGUAUACAUGAGGUGGGCGGAAUUUCAGGUGUAGCGGUGAAAUGCGUAGAUAUCAGAAAGAACUCCGAUUGCGAAGGCAGCUCACUGGGGUAGAACUGACGCUGAUGCACGAAGGUGUGGGGAGCAAACAGG